CAUGAAGCAUGAAGCCGUCAACGUUAAUGUCAAGUCGUCAAGUGCGUCAACCGUCAAUAACCGAUAGUAAUGUGUUUGGGGCAUGGAUUCAUGGGUCUAUGAAGAAAGCAGAUGAACAUCACAUGUUGCAGCAGCAUCUGGAGAGAGAAGAACAGACGUGGUCUGUUGAGUGAAAUAGUGCAAGUUCCUUCAAGAGACUCCCUACAACCCAACUUACCUGUCUGAAACAAUAAGUGACUGACAUUUUGCAGUAGCAGUGGUUUUUUCAAAGUAGCUACGUAGAAAAGCUAAAAUUAAAAAUUGCUUGUGGAAUGUAAUCUUGGCAUCACUAUUGAUCUUGGUACUCCUCAAUUGUAUGCCAAAGAGAAAAAUGCAAAUUAGAACCUGACAGACAAGAAACUGCAAGAAGAGGUGAUGUAGUGAUUCAAAAGGGAUCACAUGGAAAGAAAAAUGCCUUCAAUACUUGAAAAGGAAGAUAAAAAACACUAAAAAGUGAAAGAUGUGUUUGGGUGUGCAUGCUGACUUCGAAGGAGGCAAUGUGUUUAUGAUUUAAAAUCUAGGUAUCCAUCUUCUUUAUAGAGUACGGAAACAAUAUCAACAUUUCCUGUCAAGAAAUAUGGGUUUCACUUGAAAACCCUCUAGUUCUUUUACAAACAACCAUUUGGU